CACGUAGGGCGCGAGCGUUGUCCGGAAUUAUUGGGCGUAAAGAGCUCGUAGGCGGCCUGUUGCGUCCGCUGUGAAAGCCCGGGGCUUAACCCCGGGUCGCAGUGGAUACGGGCAGGCUAGAGGUAGGUAGGGGAGAAUGGAAUUCCCGGUGUAGCGGUGAAAUGCGCAGAUAUCGGGAGGAACACCGGUGGCGAAGGCGGCGACCUGGUUCAAUACUGACACUGAGGUGCGAAAGCGUGGGGAGCAAACAGG
rnacentral:rRNA from 1 species